GUGCUUAGUUAGGCAGCACAUAUACUAAAAUUGGAACAGUUCAGGGAAGAUUAGCAUGGCACCUUUGCAAGGAUGACACACAAAUUCAUGAAAAUUCCUUUUUUUUU
rnacentral:snRNA from 1 species